rnacentral:RNase_P_RNA from 1 species
UGUGUGGGGUGGGUGAUCGCUGUUCAUUAUUGAAUGGAGGAAAGUCCGGGCUCCUUCGGACACGAUGACGGAUAACAUCCGCCAGUCGCAAGGCUAGGGAAAGUGCAACAGAAAAGAUACCGCCCGAAAUUUUUAAUUUAAUUUCAGGUAAGGGUGAAAUGGCGAGGUAAAAGCUCACCACGAUUCGGGUAACCGAAUCGGUACGGCAAACCCCAUCGGGAGCAAGAUCAAAUAAAGACUCAGGUCGUCCGAACCGCUAACGUCUGGGUAGAUCGCUCGAGAAUAUCAGGUAACCGAUAUUCCAGAUAAAUGAUCACCAAUUUGAUCCGAUUUCAUAAUCGACUCAAAUUACAGAACCCGGCUUAUAACCCCACCGCCAA